rnacentral:rRNA from 1 species
GNGNNNGGGCNGGCAGGCCUAACACAUGCAAGUCGAGCGGUAACAGGGGUAGCUUGCUACCCGCUGACGAGCGGCGGACGGGUGAGUAAUGCAUAGGAAUCUGCCCGGUAGUGGGGGAUAACCUGGGGAAACCCAGGCUAAUACCGCAUACGUCCUACGGGAGAAAGGGGGCUUUGGCUCCCGCUAUUGGAUGAGCCUAUGUCGGAUUAGCUAGUUGGUGAGGUAAAGGCUCACCAAGGCAACGAUCCGUAGCUGGUCUGAGAGGAUGAUCAGCCACAUCGGGACUGAGACACGGCCCGAACUCCUACGGGAGGCAGCAGUGGGGAAUAUUGGACAAUGGGGGCAACCCUGAUCCAUCCAUGCCGCGUGUGUGAAGAAGGCCCUCGGGUUGUAAAGCACUUUC